CUUGCUUCCCUUCAUCUGUAACCGCAGAAUCAGACCUGCUACACUUUCUUCUUCUGCCCAAGUCACACCAUUGUGUAUUUUUGAACAGAGAUUUCUAACACCAUCUCACACCAUGCUUUCAAUCAGCGAGACUAGACCUCAAGCCAUUGCAUGAGCUGGUUAAGCGGUAUCCAUAAGGCUGUUGCCCUUGCACCUGAUACUGGAGGCUUCAGGUUGACACACUGAAGACACGUGUGAGCUAGAGAGUAGCUGCUGCAGGCCUUCUACCCCCCAAAUCUGAACCUCUCUGUGACCCACUGUACCGGGAGACGGACAGGACAGGGAAUUCUGGGAUAUGUAGUUUAACAUAGCCUGGAGGAUUACAAAGCCAUCACACUCUGGAAAUUUUCUCUUGUUUAAACUCCUUUAUUUGGGACAUGGUCACUAGCAACCAAAUGUGAUUCCUAACUCAUACUGGG
rnacentral:lncRNA from 1 species